UUGAAACACUUUCUGGCUGCGUUUCUCCUGAAAAAACCCCUUGGACUUAGGAUUUAUUCACAACUGCCAGUGUUGUGUAAUUUGCAUGCCACAACAGGAGGUGGCGCUGUUGAUGCCGUUUAACGCAUAGCACCAUCCACAACCAGCCAGGACCACAACCGAGUGAGUCAGUCGCCCCAGAACAACGCGCCCUGAGCAGCCAACAGGAGAGCUGCUGAUGAAGUGAAUGAACCUCAUCCAGACUGCGCUCCUGUCAUCACAUCUCAACACACGGAGGAGAAAGCUGCGGAAAGAUUCCAACGGAGAAAAAGGAGACAGGAGGUCGUGACGGCAGUUACUGCAG